UUGUGUUUUGGUCUGUUGUUCUCAUACUAUAUGCAAUAGGUCUACUAUAUUUGUUGUAUGGAAUGAUUGUAAGGUGUACAUGUCUAGCGGGCAGAUGUCAUGUGACCUUGACCUCAUUUUCAUGGUUCAGUGGUCAAAGUUAAGUUUUUUGAAUUUUGGUCUUUUUAUCUAAUACUAUAUGCCAUAGGUCAACUAUAUUUGGUGUAUGGAAAUAUUUUAUGAUCUUUAUGUCAGUCGCGCAGGUUUUAUUUGACCGUGACCUCAUUUUCAUGGUUCAUUGCACAGUGUUAGGUUUUUGUGUUUUGGUCUAUUUUUCUUAAACUAUGAGUAAUAGGUCAACUAUAUAUGUUGUAUAGAAGCAUUGUUAGCUGUACAUAACUGCCUGGCAUGGUUCAUCUGACCUUGACCUCAUAUUCAAGAUUCAUUGGUCUUUGUUUAGUUAUCUUGGUUAAUGUUAAGUUUAUGGUACAGUUGUUAUACAGCUUAGUUUUAUACUUAGGACUAUCAACAUGAUAUCAAUGAUUAGUAUAGAAGGCGAGACAUUUCAGUGUGUGCACUCUU
rnacentral:lncRNA from 1 species